rnacentral:rRNA from 1 species
CCUACGGGGGGCUGCAGUGGGGAAUAUUGGACAAUGGGCGAAAGCCUGAUCCAGCCAUGCCGCGUGUGUGAAGAAGGCCUUCGGGUUGUAAAGCACUUUCAGUGGGGAAGAAAGCCUUGGGGCUAAUACCCUCGAGGAAGGACAUCACCCACAGAAGAAGCACCGGCUAACUCCGUGCCAGCAGCCGCGGUAAUACGGAGGGUGCGAGCGUUAAUCGGAAUUACUGGGCGUAAAGCGCGCGUAGGCGGUCUGAUAAGCCGGUUGUGAAAGCCCCGGGCUCAAACUGGGAACGGCAUCCGGAACUGUCAGGCUAGAGUGCAGGAGAGGAAGGUAGAAUUCCCGGUGUAGCGGUGAAAUGCGUAGAGAUCGGGAGGAAUACCAGUGGCGAAGGCGGCCUUCUGGACUGACACUGACGCUGAGGUGCGAAAGCGUGGGUAGCAAACAGGAUUAGAUACCCCAGUAGUC